rnacentral:rRNA from 1 species
UACGAAGGGGGCUAGCGUUGCUCGGAAUCACUGGGCGUAAAGCGCACGUAGGCGGCUUUCUAAGUCAGAGGUGAAAUCCUGGAGCUCAACUCCAGAACUGCCUUUGAUACUGAGGAUCUUGAGUUCGGGAGAGGUGAGUGGAACUGCGAGUGUAGAGGUGAAAUUCGUAGAUAUUCGCAAGAACACCAGUGGCGAAGGCGGCUCACUGGCCCGAUACUGACGCUGAGGAGCGAAAGUGUGGGGAGCGAACAGG